rnacentral:rRNA from 1 species
ACGGAGGAUCCAAGCGUUAUCCGGAAUCAUUGGGUUUAAAGGGUCCGUAGGCGGGCCUGUAAGUCAGUGGUGAAAUCUUUCGGCUCAACCGGAAAAUUGCCAUUGAUACUGCAGGCCUUGAAUUAUUGGGAAGUAACUAGAAUAUGUAGUGUAGCGGUGAAAUGCUUAGAUAUUACAUGGAAUACCGAUUGCGAAGGCAGGUUACUAUCAAUACAUUGACGCUGAUGGACGAAAGCGUGGGGAGCGAACAGGA